rnacentral:rRNA from 1 species
GACGAACGCUGGCGGCGUGCUUAACACAUGCAAGUCGAACGGAAAGGCCCUGCUUUUGUGGGGUGCUCGAGUGGCGAACGGGUGAGUAACACGUGAGUAACCUGCCCUUGACUUUGGGAUAACUUCAGGAAACUGGGGCUAAUACCGGAUAGGAGCUCCUGCUGCAUGGUGGGGGUUGGAAAGUUUCGGCGGUUGGGGAUGGACUCGCGGCUUAUCAGCUUGUUGGUGGGGUAGUGGCUUACCAAGGCUUUGACGGGUAGCCGGCCUGAGAGGGUGACCGGGCACCAUGGGAAUUGGGUACGGGCCAGAACCCUAACGGGGGGAAGAGUGGGGAAUAUUGCACAAAGGGGCGGAGGCUGGAUGAAGAACCGCCGGGUGGGGAAGGCCGGCUUUCGGGUGAUAAACGGUUUUGGCUUGUACCGAGGCGUGAGGAAGGGAAAUGGGUAAGAAGCACCGGCUAACUACGUG